rnacentral:rRNA from 1 species
AGUGAACGCUGGCGGUAGGCCUAACACAUGCAAGUCGAACGGCAGCACAGAGGAGCUUGCUCCUUGGGUGGCGAGUGGCGGACGGGUGAGGAAUACAUCGGAAUCUACUUUUUCGUGGGGGAUAACGUAGGGAAACUUACGCUAAUACCGCAUACGACCUACGGGUGAAAGCAGGGGAUCUUCGGACCUUGCGCGAUUGAAUGAGCCGAUGUCGGAUUAGCUAGUUGGCGGGGUAAAGGUCCACCAAGGCGACGAUCCGUAGCUGGUCUGAGAGGAUGAUCAGCCACACUGGAACUGAGGCACGGUCCAGACUCCUACGGGAGGCAGCAGUGGGGAAUAUUGGACAAUGGGCGCAAGCCUGAUCCAGCCAUACCGCGUGGGUGAAGAAGGCCUUCGGGUUGUAAAGCCCUUUUGUUGGGAAAGAAAUCCAGCCGGCUAAUACCUGGUUGGGAUGACGGUACCCAAAGAAUAAGCACCGGCUAACUUCGUGCCAGCCGCCGCGGUAA